AUGUUUGAUUCAACUUUCAUUCACAAGUCAGAGUUAGUGAAGCGUUCAGAGGUUUUUGUACAGCUGCUCGGUUUGUUUCUAUCACUGUGGUACACAUUCGGCACCGGCACGAGACUGGAAGUUGGCAGUGUGUCUGCUCCUAAAGUGAUCGUCCUGCCGCCGUCCAGUGAAGAGAUUUCCAGCAAGAAGGCAGCAACAGUGAUGUGUGUGGCCAGCAAUGGUUUCCCUUCAGACUGGAGUCUGAGCUGGAAAGUGAAUGGGAAGAUGUCAGGAUCUCAGGAGAACAGAGCUGGAGUCCUACAGAAAGACGGCGGUCUGUACAGCUGGAGCAGCAGUCUGACUCUCACUGAACAAGAAUGGAUCAACAGAGACUCAGUGAUCUGUGAGAUCAGUCGGGAAGGUCAGACAGUCACUGGAGAAGUGAAGAAAGAUCUGUGUUCUGAGUAGAUCAUCUCUUCUUCUCAUCUCUUCUUCUCAUUCAUGUCUCACAUCAACAGUUUGUGUCUCUGCUUUAUUCAUUCUGUCUGCUUUUAAUAAACUUCAAUAAAGAAAUAUUAAAUAUUG